AGUGAACGCUGGCGGUAGGCCUAACACAUGCAAGUCGAACGGCAGCACAGUAAGAGCUUGCUCUUACGGGUGGCGAGUGGCGGACGGGUGAGGAAUACAUCGGAAUCUACUUUUUCGUGGGGGAUAACGUAGGGAAACUUACGCUAAUACCGCAUACGACCUACGGGUGAAAGCAGGGGAUCUUCGGACCUUGCGCGAUUGAAUGAGCCGAUGUCGGAUUAGCUAGUUGGCGGGGUAAAGGCCCACCAAGGCGACGAUCCGUAGCUGGUCUGAGAGGAUGAACAGCCACACUGGAACUGAGACACGGUCCCGACUCCUACGGGAGGCAGCAGUGGGGAAUAUUGGACAAUGGGCGCAAGCCUGAUCCAGCCAUACCGCGUGGGUGAAGAAGGCCUUCGGGUUGUAAAGCCCUUUUGUCGGGAAAGAAAAGCAGCAGGUUAAUACCCCGCUGUUCUGACGUUACCCAAAGAAUAAGCACCGGCUAACUUCGUG
rnacentral:rRNA from 1 species